rnacentral:rRNA from 1 species
CCUACGGGUGGCAGCAGUGAGGAAUAUUGGUCAAUGGGCGCGAGCCUGAACCAGCCAAGUCGCGUGAGGGAUGACGGUCCUACGGAUUGUAAACCUCUUUUGCCGGGGAGCAAGCGUGCGUUCGUGAACGCACGUCGAGAGUACCCGGAGAAAAAGCAUCGGUUAACUCCGUGCCAGCAGCCGCGGUAAUACGGAGGAUGCGAGCGUUAUCCGGAUUUAUUGGGUUUAAAGGGUGCGUAGGCGGGAUGCCAAGUCAGCGGUAAAAAUGCGGUGCUCAACGCCGUCGAGCCGUUGAAACUGGCGCUCUUGAGUGGAAGAGAAGUAUGCGGAAUGCGUGGUGUAGCGGUGAAAUGCAUAGAUAUCACGCAGAACCCCGAUUGCGAAGGCAGCAUGCCGGCUUCCGACUGACGCUGAAGCACGAAAGCGUGGGGAUCGAACAGGAUUAGAUACCCUGGUAGUC